rnacentral:rRNA from 1 species
AUACCAGCUGGCUGCAACUGUUUAUUAAAAACACAGCACUGUGCAAACACGAAAGUGGACGUAUACGGUGUGACGCCUGCCCGGUGCCGGAAGGUUAAUUGAUGGGGUUAUCCGUAAGGAGAAGCUCUUGAUCGAAGCCCCGGUAAACGGCGGCCGUAACUAUAACGGUCCUAAGGUAGCGAAAUUCCUUGUCGGGUAAGUUCCGACCUGCACGAAUGGCGUAAUGAUGGCCAGGCUGUCUCCACCCGAGACUCAGUGAAAUUGAACUCGCUGUGAAGAUGCAGUGUACCCGCGGCAAGACGGAAAGACCCCGUGAACCUUUACUAUAGCUUGACACUGAACAUUGAGCCUUGAUGUGUAGGAUAGGUGGGAGGCUUUGAAGCGUGGACGCCAGUCUGCGUGGAGCCAACCUUGAAAUACCACCCUUUAAUGUUUGAUGUUCUAACGUUGGCCCCUUACCGGGGUUGCGGACAGUGUCUGGUGGGUAGUUUGACUGGGGCGGUCUCCUCCCAAAGCGUAACGGAGGAGCACGAAGGUUAGCUAAUCCUGGUCGGACAUCAGGAGGUUAGUGCAAUGGCAUAAGCUAGCUUGACUGCGAGCGUGACGGCGCGAGCAGGUGCGAAAGCAGGUCAUAGUGAUCCGGUGGUUCUGAAUGGAAGGGCCAUCGCUCAACGGAUAAAAGGUACUCCGGGGAUAACAGGCUGAUACCGCCCAAGAGUUCAUAUCGACGGCGGUGUUUGGCACCUCGAUGUCGGCUCAUCACAUCCUGGGGCUGAAGUAGGUCCCAAGGGUAUGGCUGUUCGCCAUUUAAAGUGGUACGCGAGCUGGGUUUAGAACGUCGUGAGACAGUUCGGUCCCUAUCUGCCGUGGGCGCUGGAGAAUUGAGGGGGGCUGCUCCUAGUACGAGAGGACCGGAGUGGACGCAUCACUGGUGUUCGGGUUGUCAUGCCAAUGGCACUGCCCGGUAGCUAAAUGCGGAAGAGAUAAGUGCUGAAAGCAUCUAAGCACGAAACUUGCCCCGAGAUGAGUUCUCCCUGAGACUUUAAGUCUCCUGAAGGAACGUUGAAGACGACGACGUUGAUAGGCCGGGUGUGUAAGCGCAGCGAUGCGUUGAGCUAACCGGUACUAAUGAACCGUGAGGCUUAACCUUACAACGCCGAAG